rnacentral:rRNA from 1 species
UCCAGACUCCUACGGGAGGCAGCAGUGGGGAAUCUUCCGCAAUGGGCGCAAGCCUGACGGAGCAAUGCCGCGUGAACGAAGAAGGUCUUCGGAUUGUAAAGUUCUGUCCUUAUCGAAGAGAGGGUAUAGAGUGAAAAAUGAUAUACUAGGACGGUAGAUGAGGAGGAAGCCCCGGCUAACUACGUGCCAGCAGCCGCGGUAAUACGUAGGGGGCGAGCGUUGUCCGGAAUCACUGGGCGUAAAGGGAGCGCAGGCGGCGCGGCAAGUCAGAUGUGAAAGCCCGGGGCUCAACCCCGGGACUGCAUUUGAAACUGCCGUGCUGGAGUGUCGGAGAGGCAAGUGGAAUUCCUAGUGUAGCGGUGAAAUGCGUAGAUAUUAGGAGGAACACCAGUGGCGAAGGCGGCUUGCUGGACGAUAACUGACGCUGAGGCUCGAAAGCGUGGGGAGCAAACAGGAUUAGAUACCCUUGUAAUA